UCAAACCCCCCUCCGGUGUUGUUUUGCAGACACCCGUCCAGCAGCUACACCGCAAGACACCGGUACACGGCGGAGGAAGCACCAGAACGGGAUUUGGCGUUAUCAUUUGGCGCUAGAAGGAGGGGGAGGUUGUAUUCUCCGUCCUGUGGUCACGGUGCCACUGGACUCAUCUUCAUCAGCAAACUCCCGAAAAGGGAGUCCCGAUUCAACCCUGUAAGCUUCAAAAUGCACUCAAAUCUCUCAAAACCCUCUCAGCCAUGAUUCUCUUUGUUGUGUGCAUGUUAGCAAACCCUGUCUAGAAGCACCC
rnacentral:lncRNA from 1 species